rnacentral:lncRNA from 1 species
AUGCUGGCCCGGGUUCUUUUAAGACGGGUUCUGGACACAAGCGACGGCAGCUUCCGCGACCCCCAUCAGCCCCGCCUCACUCUGGACACCGGGCUGUGAGCUCUGGGACGCGCCCAACUUGGAAAGCGUCUUGCUUGCCCAGCGCGCGCUACUUCUCGGACGAGCACCCGGCGGCGGGGCACAUGCUGCCCCCGCCCCUGCGCGCCUGCGGCUCCCGGCUCUCCCUCCCCUGCGCCGCGCUCUCGCCUCGCUUUCCGCGGGAGCCUUCCAACCGGUUCUCGGCUAGGGAGAAGGACGGGAGCGGUGGGAAGAGCGAGGGUGUAGAGAGGGAAGUUAGGGCUUUCGCUUUCUCCCCCCACUCCAGCGGCGGCGUUCGGUCCUCUGGGUGGAAUGUGCUCGCAGCAGCAGUGACGGCGGCCACAGCACGGGAGGCACCCGAGCCAUACACCCUGCAGCUGGAGAGAAAAGGAUGGCCGAGGUGGGAGAGACUAGAGUGAACCAGCAGGAGGAAGUCCCAGGGCCGCGAAGCUACGACGGAGAUCCGUCCUGGAAAAGCCUUCUCCACCCUGGGCACUUUAAGCGGCGGUGGCGGCAAACGGCAGGAGGUUGCAGACCCGACAGCGAGACUCCCUCAUUCCAGUCUUGCUCUGCCCUCCGGAGAUGACAAGUGAGAAAGAAGUGUCCGGCCGGGCCAUCCCCUUCAGUUACCAAGAAUAACUGUAAAAUGUGCUGGGAAUGCAAUGUCCUGAGAUAAGGAAGAACUGCCUGAAACAGCCUGGAUCUUAUUCCUGUACUUCCUAGGGAAUGUAACAUCUCAAGUUAAAGAGGAACUGCCCGGAACAGCCCGGGGAUUGUUCCUCUCUCCUGAGAAGGAAGAUUACCUCCAAAGCUCAUCCACUGAGUCACACUGCCCCUGUGGUGGAGGGCGGGCUGCCUUUCCAGGUUCCUCAGCUGUGGUGUAACUGAAGCAGGCACAAUCAAGACUCCAUCUGCUCGAGGCAGCUUUCUCGAACCUUGGGGAACCUACUCACAAUGGAUCACAGGCUUCUUUUGUUUUGUUUCUUGCUGCCUAUCUGUAAGUAAUUAACUUGCUUCAUGUAACGUGUUGCAUAUGAGUGUGUUCUGUCUCAUAGACUCAGGGAAUUGGUAACACUGCAGCUGAGGACGCAGUGGACAGAAGUGUUCAGACUCCUGUUCCUUGUGGUUGACACAGUGAUGAUGAUCUCUUCUGUCCUCCACAGAGUGGAAGUCCUCUCUUGGGAUUGGUUAUUGGUGAAACCACUUCGCAAUUUAUUAAGAUGGCAAAAGCUUACGGAGGGACAGAUUUGAGGGGAAGAUCAAGAUUUUUCUGUCAGUAUUGCAAAUAGUCAAGAAUAUGUGGUCCAAGAAGUGAUCAUUAUCUUUGGCAUUGUGCAAGUCAUUAGUGACCUUCACAUGAACAGUCUCAGUGGAGUGUUGGAGGAAAAAGCCUAACUGAAGAAGGUUCAAGAGUGAAUGGAAAAAGAGCAGUAGUAUGUGGAGAGUACAGACAAGUAUUUCCAGGAGCCUUUCUGUAAAGAGUGGUAGAGAAUGGGACAUCAUUUUUGGAUGGGGGAAGAGUUAUUUAUAGCAUGUUCAUAUGCUAAUGGAAGUGAUCUACUCAUGGGGAAAAUCUUGAUGAUGCAAGAAAGAAAGGGAUUUGUUGGAAUCUUGUCCUAUAACGGGUGAGAGGGGAUGGGUUCUAGAAGAAAAGGCAUGGGUCUUUGUUUGAGAUCAGGCAAUUCAUCUGUAGGAACCAGUAGGAAGAUGGUUAAGUGGGUACCUGUGGUAGUGGAUGUUUGUGAACAUUCUUUUCUUUUCCAUUGUUUCUAUUUUCUCAAUAAAGUGGGAAGCAAAAAUCAGCUGAGUGAAGAUGAGGAAGAAGGUGUUAAAGGUUUGAAGAAAAAAGGAAAAGGAUAUACUAAUCUAAGAGGACAAGUAAGUAGAACAUAGAUAAUGAAAAUGCUGGCCCUUAGGACUGUUGGGCCUAAAUGCUCAUAUUAUAUUGGUAGUCACAAAUUUGAACUUUCUCUAGAGCCAAUUUUUGCAUGUGUGUGCAGGCCUGGAGUAGUUGGAGAGUUGGAUUUAAUAGAAUUGAGGGUCAAGCAACUACAACCAGGGAAGAGUGGGACAAGGGAGAUAAAGGAUAUUGGCAGGGGAGCAAUUAUAAACAUGGACCAUGAUCAAAACUGGACAGGAAGGAAAAUAGAGAUAAGAGGGGUGGAAGGUUAAAAAUAGUGAAAAUGAGAUAGAAUGAAUAGGUUGUAGGUCCCUGUAAAGUUGAAGAAGUAUUAUUAUGCAGUACUCGUUAUUGAAAUGAGGUCACUAUGCUUAAGGCACAGUGAAUCCUAGAAAAUAGUGGUUUUGUUUCUCAUUAGGCAAUACAUUCCUCCUUGCUCCAGAAUGCAACAUACAUGUAUCCUUUUCUGUACUAUUUUUUAUUAAGAAUUCAUACUUAAUUCCACUGACUGCCACUCAAUUUUAAUGUACAGUAGGGAAUUCCUGUACUAUGUAUUAUGAAUCCAUUCCUUUGAAUUUCAUUUAUAAUACUUCAUGACUGACACCUGGCUUUCCACCAAGACUCAAUUUUCAUAGCAAGCCUCAUCAUCAUAAGCCCCCAAAUUAACAGGAUGAGGAGGAAGAAUUGGCAGGCUAAAGAAGAUGAUUAUAUCAAUUAAUGCAGAAAAAGCAUUUGAUAAAAUCCAAUAUUCAUUUGUAAUUAAAAACUCUCAGCAAGUUAGGGAUAGGAAUUACUUCAACUUAAUGAAGAGUGUCUUUAAAAACCUUAUUUUCAUCAGUUAUAACAAAUGUACCACUCUGGUGGUGAAUGUUGCUAAGGAGGGAAGCUAUACAUGUGUGGGGAAAGGAGAUGUGUGAGCAAUUUCUGUACCUUCUACUCAAUCUUCUGUGAGACUAAAAUUGCUGUAAAAAAUAAAGUUCAUUUUUUU